GACGAACGCUGGCGGCGUGCUUAACACAUGCAAGUCGAACGGAAAGGCCCUGCUUUUGUGGGGUGCUCGAGUGGCGAACGGGUGAGUAACACGUGAGUAACCUGCCCUUGACUUUGGGGUAACUUCAGGAAACUGGGGCUAAUACCGGAUAGAAGCUCCUGCUGCAUGGUGGGGGUUGGAAAGUUUCGGCGGUUGGGGAUGGACUCGCGGCUUAUCAGCUUGUUGGUGGGGUAGUGGCUUACCAGGGCUUUGACGGGUAGCCGGCCUGAGCGGGUGGCCGGCCACAAUGGGACUGCGAUACGGCCCAGUCUGCUACGUGAGGCAGCAGUGGGGAAUCUUGCACAAUGGGCGGAAGCCUGAUGCAGCAACGCCGCGUUCGGGAUGACGUCCUUCGGGUUGUAAACCGCUUUCGCCUGUGCCGAAGCGUGAGUGACGGUAAUGGGUAAAGAAGCACCGGCUAACUACGUG
rnacentral:rRNA from 1 species